GACGCUUAUGCGUUGUUGGGUAGGGGAGCGUUCUGUAAGCCUGUGAAGGUGUGCUGUGAGGCAUGCUGGAGGUAUCAGAAGUGCGAAUGCUGACAUAAGUAACGAUAAAGCGGGUGAAAAGCCCGCUCGCCGGAAGACCAAGGGUUCCUGUCCAACGUUAAUCGGGGCAGGGUGAGUCGACCCCUAAGGCGAGGCCGAAAGGCGUAGUCGAUGGGAAACAGGUUAAUAUUCCUGUACUUGGUGUUACUGCGAAGGGGGGACGGAGAAGGCUAUGUUGGCCGGGCGACGGUUGUCCCGGUUUAAGCGUGUAGGCUGGUUUUCCAGGCAAAUCCGGAAAAUCAAGGCUGAGGCGUGAUGACGAGGCACUACGGUGCUGAAGCAACAAAUGCCCUGCUUCCAGGAAAAGCCUCUAAGCAUCAGGUAACAUCAAAUCGUACCCCAAACCGACACAGGUGGUCAGGUAGAGAAUACCAAGGCGCUUGAGAGAACUCGGGUGAAGGAACUAGGCAAAAUGGUGCCGUAACUUCGGGAGAAGGCACGCUGAUAUGUAGGUGAAGUCCCUCGCGGAUGGAGCUGAAAUCAGUCGAAGAUACCAGCUGGCUGCAACUGUUUAUUAAAAACACAGCACUGUGCAAACACGAAAGUGGACGUAUACGGUGUGACGCCUGCCCGGUGCCGGAAGGUUAAUUGAUGGGGUCAGCGCAAGCGAAGCUCUUGAUCGAAGCCCCGGUAAACGGCGGCCGUAACUAUAACGGUCCUAAGGUAGCGAAAUUCCUUGUCGGGUAAGUUCCGACCUGCACGAAUGGCGUAAUGAUGGCCAGGCUGUCUCCACCCGAGACUCAGUGAAAUUGAACUCGCUGUGAAGAUGCAGUGUACCCGCGGCAAGACGGAAAGACCCCGUGAACCUUUACUAUAGCUUGACACUGAACAUUGAGCCUUGAUGUGUAGGAUAGGUGGGAGGCUUAGAAGUGUGGACGCCAGUCUGCAUGGAGCCGACCUUGAAAUACCACCCUUUAAUGUUUGAUGUUCUAACGUUGACCCGUAAUCCGGGUUGCGGACAGUGUCUGGUGGGUAGUUUGACUGGGGCGGUCUCCUCCUAAAGAGUAACGGAGGAGCACGAAGGUUGGCUAAUCCUGGUCGGACAUCAGGAGGUUAGUGCAAUGGCAUAAGCCAGCUUGACUGCGAGCGUGACGGCGCGAGCAGGUGCGAAAGCAGGUCAUAGUGAUCCGGUGGUUCUGAAUGGAAGGGCCAUCGCUCAACGGAUAAAAGGUACUCCGGGGAUAACAGGCUGAUACCGCCCAAGAGUUCAUAUCGACGGCGGUGUUUGGCACCUCGAUGUCGGCUCAUCACAUCCUGGGGCUGAAGUAGGUCCCAAGGGUAUGGCUGUUCGCCAUUUAAAGUGGUACGCGAGCUGGGUUUAGAACGUCGUGAGACAGUUCGGUCCCUAUCUGCCGUGGGCGCUGGAGAACUGAGGGGGGCUGCUCCUAGUACGAGAGGACCGGAGUGGACGCAUCACUGGUGUUCGGGUUGUCAUGCCAAUGGCACUGCCCGGUAGCUAAAUGCGGAAGAGAUAAGUGCUGAAAGCAUCUAAGCACGAAACUUGCCCCGAGAUGAGUUCUCCCUGACUCCUUGAGAGUCCUGAAGGAACGUUGAAGACGACGACGUUGAUAGGCCGGGUGUGUAAGCGCAGCGAUGCGUUGAGCUAACCGGUACUAAUGAACCGUGAGGCUUAACCUUACAACGCCGAAGCUGUU
rnacentral:rRNA from 1 species